ensembl:lncRNA
UUUUAAUAAGCCAUUAUUCAUCUAUUUUCUUCUUAUUUUACUAUCUUUUCUUUUCAAAUCUAUACUCAGUUGUAAAAGUGAUUGUGUUUAUUGGACCAAAGAAUAAAUCUACCUGACUACAUUUGUAGUAGGUAAACUCAAUCGUUCGAGUCCUUUUCCCUGUCGACUCCUCGACACAGGCAAAGCAGAACGACGCGCUCUCCCAGCUGAUCCCCUCACGCAAGAGAAACACAAAGUUCCAGGGCCAGAGGAGGAGCCAGAUGCAGACACGCCCGGAGCCGACCAACUACCCAAGGAUGAUGCAAUCAGAUUUCGGCAGGGAUGGAUGGAGAGCCCAGUGAGCGAUGGGCACUACAGGUGCAGCGGGUGCCGUCCAGGCUUACCUUGGGAUCGAGUAUACACCGGAGAGUUUGGACGAGGGACCACCAGAGAGGCCCGACCUGAUCUGGCUGGAGAACAUGGAACAGACCCCUGCCCCACUGUCCAAGAGCCCCCACGCAAUGCAGCGCACCAAUACAUGAAGAUCAUCCGGCCCCUGCCCCACUGUCCAAGAGCCCCCACGCAAUGCAGCGCACCAAUACAUGAAGAUCAUACGGCCCCUGCCCCACUGUCCAAGAGCCCCC